AGUGAACGCUGGCGGUAGGCCUAACACAUGCAAGUCGAACGGCAGCACAGUAGGAGCUUGCUCUUACGGGUGGCGAGUGGCGGACGGGUGAGGAAUACAUCGGAAUCUACUUUUUCGGGGGGGAUAACGUAGGGAAACUUACGCUCAUACCGCAUACGACCUACGGGUGAAAGCAGGGGAUCUUCGGACCUUGCGCGAUUGAAUGCGCCGAUGUCGGAUUAGCUAGUUGGCGGGGUAAAGGCCCACCAAGGCGCCGAUCCGUAGCUGGUCUGAGAGGAUGAUCAGCCACACGGGAACUGGGACACGGUCCAGAGGACUACGGGAGGGAGCAGAUGGGAAUAUUGGACAAUGGGCGCGAGCCUGAUCCAACCAUACCGCGUGGGUGAAGGAGGCCUUCGGGUUGUAAAGCCCUUUUGUUGGGAAAGAAAAGCAGCAGGUUAAUACCCCGCUGUUCUGACGGUAACCAAAGAAUAAGCACCGGCUAACUACGUG
rnacentral:rRNA from 1 species